UGACGCAGGCGCGGACAAGCGAGAGAAAUGAGUAAACUGUUGGAAACUAACGAUAUAAACCGUUAAAAAUAGAAUUCCCAUCCCCACCCGACUCGAAAAGCUCAGGGUGAAACCCCUGGAGCAGAGACGAUAUCGAUAAAAGGUUUAUUGAAGCUACGGCUAUCGUGAGCACCAGCGAUAGCGAGACGAUAUCGGCAGAGUCGUGUUCCAGAUCUCUACCGUGUAACCGGGAAUUAGUUCUGUUAAAUCAAACCAAGGCCAAGGGAUUUGUUGAGGAUUUUAUAAGUUUUGUCAAUCGGCUUUUCGUGGAUGACCAACAUUUGGUGGACGAACCAAGAAACAAGAUGGCGAGGCCCCGGGAUGGGAGCUCGAGCGGGAACGAAAUGUUUCCUGACGGAGACGCUUCAAUACGGUCGGGGGGGUUCUUUUGAAGAUCCUGACCUGGAGUUAUAUGUUGACUUCGGUUUUUGCAGUAAUGGGGCCCGCUCUCAGGGUCUCACGACUUGCUGAUAUUCGAUAUAUCAAUGACGCGGCCUAGAAGAUUAGCUUGCCUUCGGAGUUUCAGGAUUUAUUGGCUCUGGAGGAGGGCGGACUCGAGGUCAGUGCGUCAGCAGGAAAUCAUUGUUUCGUGAGAGAUGGAAGAUCUCUGGUUGUGUGGCAGAGACCUGAGUUCUUUGGGCACAGAGCUCGGAAAAAUCGACACAAUGGA